rnacentral:rRNA from 1 species
UCAGACGAUGCGUCAUGCAUAUCAAUAAGCGGAGGAAAAGAAACUAACAAGGAUUCCCCUAGUAACGGCGAGUGAAGCGGGAAGAGCUCAAAUUUGAAAUCUUAAAGGGUUUCCCUUUACGUAUUGUAGUUUAAAGAAGUGUUUUCUGUUGAGGUUUUGGUAAAAGUUCUUUGGAAUAGGACAUCAUAGAGGGUGAGAAUCCCGUAUUUGACCUUUACUUUCAACUUUGUGAUACACUUUCAAAGAGUCGGAUUGUUUGGGAAUGCAGUCCAAAAUGGGUGGUAAAUUUCAUCUAAAGCUAAAUAUUGGCGAGAGACCGAUAGCGAACAAGUACCGUGAGGGAAAGAUGAAAAGAACUUUGAAAAGAGAGUUAAACAGUACGUGAAAUUGUCAAAAGGGAAGCGUUUGACACCAGUGUUGUUUUUCUGAAAAUCAAUUAAAGAACUGUUUAUGCUAAGUUGUUUAGACUUUAUCAGCUAACUGUUUAGUUUUGAGCUUUUCUUUAAUGCACUUUUCAGUUAACAAGUCAACAUCAAUUUCUUUUGCUGUAAAAAAGCUUGAGGAAGGUGGCUUGAGAUUCGUCUUAAGUGUUUAUAGCCUCUUGCCUAUGCAGUCGGAGAGAUUGAGGUCUGCAGCGUAGAUCCUUCGGGGCUAAAUGCAUUUGUGCUAAGUUAUAGCAUUUUAUAGACAACUUGUUGACUAUGAUUUGUCUUGUAGCUUACUCGCUUAUGUUAUUUUACCUACGCUUAGGAUGUUGAAGAUGUAGCACAUCAU